rnacentral:rRNA from 1 species
UACAUGGGGUGCAAACGUUGCUCGGAAUUAUUGGGCGUAAAGCGCGUGUAGGCGGCUUGGUAAGUCUGCUCUGAAAGUCCAGGGCUCAACCCUGGAAAGCCGGUGGAUACUGUCGGACUAGAGUGCGGAAGAGGCGAGUGGAAUUCCUGGUGUAGCGGUGAAAUGCGCAGAUAUCAGGAGGAACACCGGUGGCGAAGGCGGGUCUCUGGGCCGAUACUGACGCUGAGGAGCGAAAGCGUGGGGAGCGAACAGG